AAAAAAUUAGUUAAACCCCCAUAACAUUAGUUUGUCAAACUAAAAUUAUCUUUAUUUUUAUAGAUAUUUUUUA
rnacentral:tRNA from 1 species